GACGGAGGGUGCAAGCGUUGCUCGGAAUUACUGGGCGUAAAGCGCGUGUAGGUGGCUUGGUGAGUCAGAUGUGAAAGCCCUGGGCUCAACCCAGGAACUGCACUGAAACUACCAGUCUUGAGUGGUGGAGAGGGAAGUGGAAUUCCUGGUGUAGAGGUGAAAUUCGUAGAUAUCAGGAGGAACACCAGUGGCGAAGGCAGCUUCCUGGACACUAACUGACGCUGAGACGCGAAAGCGUGGGGAGCAAACAGG
rnacentral:rRNA from 1 species